AUUGAACGCUGGCGGCAGGCCUAACACAUGCAAGUCGAGCGGCAGCGGGAAAGUAGCUUGCUACUUUUGCCGGCGAGCGGCGGACGGGUGAGUAAUGCCUGGGGAUCUGCCCAGUCGAGGGGGAUAACUACUGGAAACGGUAGCUAAUACCGCAUACGCCCUACGGGGGAAAGCAGGGGACCUUCGGGCCUUGCGCGAUUGGAUGAACCCAGGUGGGAUUAGCUAGUGGGUGGGGUAAUGGCUCACCAAGGCGACGAUCCCUAGCGGGUCUGAGAGGAUGAUCAGCCACACUGGAACUGAGACACGGUCCAGACUCCUACGGGAGGCAGCAGUGGGGAAUAUCGCACAAUGGGGGAAACCCUGAUGCAGCCAUGCCGCGUGUGUGAAGAAGGCCUUCGGGUUGUAAAGCACUUUCAGCGAGGAGGAAAGGUUGGUAGCUAAUAACUGCCAGCUGACGUUACUCGCAGAAGAAGCACCGGCUAACUCCGUGCCAGCAGCCGCCGUAA
rnacentral:rRNA from 1 species